CGGGAUUCAAUGCUGGUCACAAUGGAGUUAAUCACCUAUGAUAGUUGCCAAGGAGUGGAAUCCGGUUUAAGAACCCAAGAAACAACAUUCUUUGAAUUCGAUUCAACCACAAUAGAAUUAGAUGAGUCAACAAGAGACAAAUUGGCGCAAGAUAACUCCAAAGCUUUGAUCGAUGGAUGGGCUUCUCUUUCACAUGUAGUUGUGGCCGCAAGGUUUCCUUUAAAGUCUAAACUGCAAUUGGGUCCAUAUAG
rnacentral:misc_RNA from 1 species